GACGAACGCUGGCGGCGUGCUUAACACAUGCAAGUCGAACGGAAAGGCCCUGCUUUUGUGGGGUGCUCGAGUGGCGAACGGGUGAGUAACACGUGAGUAACCUGCCCUUGACUUUGGGAUAACUUCAGGAAACUGGGGCUAAUACCGGAUAGGAGCUCCUGCCGCAUGGUGGGGGUUGGAAAGUUUCGGCGGUUGGGGAUGGACUCGCGGCUUAUCAGCUUGUUGGUGGGGUAGUGGCUUACCAAGGCUUUGACGGGUAGCCGGCCUGAGAGGGUGACCGGCCACAUUGGGACUGAGAUACGGCCCAGACUCCUACGGGAGGCAGCAGUGGGGAAUAUUGCACAAUGGGCGGAAGCCUGAUGCAGCAACGCCGCGUGCGGGAUGACGGCCUUCGGGUUGUAAACCGCUUUCGCCUGUGACGAAGCGUGUGUGACGGUAAUGGGUAAAGAAGCACCGGCUAACUACGUG
rnacentral:rRNA from 1 species